CUGGUGACGUAGCAUUCGUCGUGAUUUGACGAUAUCAAUAGUGUACUGAUAAAUAUGACUCUGCAAAUCUAAUGCACUUGAUUACUGCUUUGAGAUUGUCGCAGUGGGGGCACGAAAUCGCGAUUAUAUAACCAGGAUUCGAAGCUUCCGAAGCCUGAGUGUGACGGGUAUCGACCCGGUGAGAAGCUGAGUUUUUCUCGUGAAGUGUAAUGCCCAUUUCGUGACUUUGAACUAUAGGGAUACAUACUGUGCAUUGUAAUUCAUUGUUGGAGCUGAGAGUGAUACCCGACGAGUUUAAUACAGACAUCGACAGAAUGGCGCUAUUUUCGGCGCAGGUUUUCCUUCAAAUUCUUGGAGCUUUGAUUGGCUUGCUCGGUUUCGUGUAUAUUUACCUCAGACAAGUGUCAUAUAGGUACUGGAGUUCAAAAGGAGUACCGCACACAGUUCCGACUGUCCCCAUUGGAGACUUGUGGCCGGUGCUUUCGGCACAAAAGUCGAUAGGUCAACACGUCCGAGAUGAAUACUUUAAGUUUGAAAAAAAAUCGGUUUUCGGAAUGUACUCUUUCCACAAACCAAUGUUGGUGAUUCGCGACCCCGAAAUCAUCAGAUUCGUACUUACUAAAGAUUUUUCACACUUUCAAAAUCGCGGAGUGUACUACAACGAAGAAGUUGAUCCUUUAUCAGCCCAUUUGUUCAGCUUGUCUGGUCCGAAAUGGAAGAAGUUACGGGUCAAGUUUUCGCCAACGUUUACUUCUGGAAAAAUGAAGUACAUGUUCGCCACUGUCAAAGAGUGUUCUGAAAAGCUUGCGUUUCAUUUUGGGGAGGAAGUUAAGCGAAAUAAUCAGCUGGUCGAGGUUAAAGAUUUCAUGGCAAGAUUUUCUACGGACGUUAUCUCAUCGGUUGCCUUCGGUAUCGAGUGCAACAGUAUGAAGAAUGCAGACGAUGAAUUUUACAAAUGUGGUCGCACAACAUUCAAAUCUAGACCUCUGAUAAACGCACUAUUUGCAGUGUUUCCGGACGCGUUGUCUUUAUUCAAAAUCAAGUUCGUUUUUCCAGAAGUUUCAAAAUUCUUCAUCAAGGCGUUCAACGAUACCGUGAAACAUAGAACGGAAAAGAACUUAAUUCGCAAAGAUUUUCUUGAGCUGGUAAUGCAAUUGAUGCACAAAGGCUACGUACAGGGUGAUGAUGAAGAGGAAACGGCAACUGAAUCAAAAAUUGAUAAUGAAAAGAUUACGAUGCUCGAAGGAGCUGCGCAGGCUUUCGUUUUUUUUCUGGCUGGUUCUGAGACUUCCUCGUCAACGGCGACACAUUGUCUUUACGAGUUGGCGUUCCAUCAGGACAUUCAAGACAAACUCGUUAACGAGAUAAAAACGGUAACAAAGGAAUUCGGAGGAGUUACUUACGAGAGCAUUGCGGCAAUGCCGUAUUUGCAUAAGGUGGUUUCCGAAACUCUCAGAAAGUAUCCAUCGGUCCCCAUACUGAACCGACAGGCAACCGCGGAUGUUGAAUUGCCCGGAAUCGAUCUCACCGUUACAAAAGGAACUCCAAUCAUCAUUCCAGUUUACGGACUCCAUUCGGAUCCCAAAAUAUACCCUCAUCCGCACAUAUUCGAUCCAGAGCGAUUCACCAAGGAGAAUAUCGACCUCAGACAUCAUUACGCUUAUCUUCCCUUUGGCGAAGGACCACGAAACUGUAUAGGAAUGAGAUUCGGACUUCUUCAAACUAAAUUUGCCAUCAUCAGCUUGCUUACCAAGUUCCGGUUUACUCCCGGACCUGAUACCACAGUUCCACUACCCAUGGACGUAGGUACCUUUGUGCUUUGUCCGAAAGACGACACAGCACUUCGUGUUGAAGAGAGGUCCGAUUAAUAUCCUGGUUCAUACUUUGGAGUGAUCGUACGUACGUUCGUUCAAGAUUUCAAAACAGUGAUCUUGUUCGAUGAUUCGAGUGAGUCAUAUUAGUUAUAUUCAAAUUACACAAUUCAGCGCGUAAUCGAUGAGGAAAUGCAGAUUGUCGGUAAGAAAAUAAUCUUUUUUUUUUUCACGUUGUUCGUUAAAUCUGAAAGAAAAGUGUCGAGUUGGGUCACCAUAGAUUUCCAUUUCUUCAAAUCAGAGAGCAGGUGCUCGUUUUGGAGGAAAAAAUUGAAAAAAAAUUGCAUUUACCGUUCGUAGACUCGCAAAUGGUAAUUGCAAUAAUUGUUUAUGUUUCUUUACCGACGAAAUUAGAGGCGCAGAAAUCUGUAGCGGUAAUGUUAUCGACAUUAACAAAAUGUUGCUCCGGUUUUCUAACAGAUAGAGACAGUGUUCCUAAAGUUGGGAACCUGACCUGGAUUUUCCACUUGAUCUGCACAAUUUUCGGAAAUAUUUUUCGGUCUAUACAAAAUGAAAAAUACAGAUUUUUCAAAGAAAAAAAAUUCCUCAGGCAUCAAACUCAGUAAAUUUCAGCCUUUACAUCUUACUUAUAAAAGCUAGCAAUUAGGAAAGCAGUUUCCCAAAAUAUAGCUUUUGAAUUAAUCUAUUUACAAAAACUAUUCAGAAACAAUUAUUAUCGAAAUAAAUAUCUUCAUCUUGCAUAGGGCAAAGUAGCUAUAGAUCCUAAUAAGAGCUCAAUCGACAAUAGUGCAGUAUAACCACGAGAUUCUCAUGGUUACACAUCAUUUUUUCAAAGAAUAAUUCGAUCAACGAAUAAAAGGCAACAAUUCUAGGACAACAUUUCAAA